rnacentral:rRNA from 1 species
GGAGGAAAGCAGGGGAUCGCAAGACCUCACGUUAUAGGAGCGGCCGAUGUCCGAUUAGCUAGUUGGUGGGGUAAAGGCCUACCAAGGCGACGAUCGGUAGCUGGUCUGAGAGGAUGAUCAGCCACACUGGGACUGAGACACGGCCCAGACUCCUACGGGAGGCAGCAGUGGGGAAUUUUGGACAAUGGGUGAAAGCCUGAUCCAGCCAUGCCGCGUGCGGGAAGAAGGCCUUCGGGUUGUAAACCGCUUUAGUCCGGGAAAAAGGGGUGCGAGGAUAAUACCCUUGUGCUUUGAUGGUACUGGAAGAAUAAGCACCGGCUAACUACGUGCCAGCAGCCGCGGUAAUACGUAGGGUGCGAGCGUUAAUCGGAAUUACUGGGCGUAAAGCGUGCGCAGGCGGUCUUGUAAGACAGUCGUGAAAGCCCCGGGCUUAACCUGGGAACUGCGUUUGAAACUACAAAGCUAG